UGGAGCAGUUGGUAGCUCGUCGGGCUCAUAACCCGAAGGUCGCAGGUUCAAGUCCUGUUCCCGCAACCA
rnacentral:tRNA from 1 species